UGGGGAAUCUUAGACAAUGGGGGCAACCCUGAUCUAGCCAUGCCGCGUGAGUGAUGAAGGCCUUAGGGUUGUAAAGCUCUUUCAGCUGGGAAGAUAAUGACGGUACCAGCAGAAGAAGCCCCGGCUAACUCCGUGCCAGCAGCCGCGGUAAUACGGAGGGGGCUAGCGUUGUUCGGAAUUACUGGGCGUAAAGCGCACGUAGGCGGACUGGAAAGGUGGAGGUGAAAUCCCAGGGCUCAACCUUGGAACUGCCUGCAAAACUAUCAGUCUGGAGUUCGAGAGAGGUGAGUGGAAGUCCGAGUGUAGAGGUGAAAUUCGUAGAUAUUCGGAGGAACACCAGUGGCGAAGGCGGCUCACUGGCUCGAUACUGACGCUGAGGUGCGAAAGUGUGGGGAGCAAACA
rnacentral:rRNA from 1 species